rnacentral:rRNA from 1 species
GAGUUUGAUCCUGGCUCAGAACGUACGCUGGCGGCACGCCUAAUACAUGCAAGUCGAACGAAGUAGCAAUACUUAGUGGCAGACGGGUGAGUAACAUGUGGGUAUCUUCCCUUUGGUGAGGAAUAACACGAGGAAACUUGUGCUAAUACCUCAUAAGUCUUUACGGAGAAAGCUUUAUGCGCCAAUGGAUGAGCCUGCACUUGAUUAGUUUGUUGGUGGGGUAAUGGCCUACCAAGACUGUGAUCAAUAGCUGAUUUGAGAGGAUGAUCAGCCACAUUGGGACUGAGACACGGCCCAAACUCCUACGGGAGGCAGCAGUAGGGAAUCUUGCACAAUGGAGGAAACUCUGAUGCAGCGAUGCCGCGUGAGUGAAGAAGGCCCUUGGGUUGUAAAGCUCUUUCGUCGGGGAAGAAAAUGACUGUACCCGAAUAAGAAGGUCCGGCUAACUUCGUGCCAGCAGCCGCGGUAAUACGAAGGGACCUAGCGUAGUUCGGAAUUACUGGGCUUAAAGAGUUCGUAGGUGGUUAAAAAAGUUGGUGGUGAAAGCCCAGAGCUUAACUCUGGAACGGCCAUCAAAACUUUUUAGCUAGAGUUUGAUAGAGGAAAGCAGAAUUUCUAGUGUAGAGGUGAAAUUCGUAGAUAUUAGAAAGAAUACCAAUUGCGAAGGCAGCUUUCUGGAUCAUUACUGACACUGAGGAACGAAAGCAUGGGUAGCGAAGAGGAUUAGAUACCCUCGUAGUCCAUGCCGUAAACGAUGUGUGUUAGAUGUUGGAAAUUUAUUUUCAGUAUCGCAGCGAAAGCAAUAAACACACCGCCUGGGGAGUACGACCGCAAGGUUAAAACUCAAAUGAAUUGACGGGGACCCGCACAAGUAGUGGAGCAUGUGGUUUAAUUCGAAGAUACGCGCAGAACCUUACCAACACUUGACAUGUUCGUCGCGACUCUAAGAGAUUAGAGUUUUCGGUUCGGCCGGACGAAACACAGGUGCUGCAUGGCUGUCGUCAGCUCGUGUCGUGAGAUGUUGGGUUAAGUCCCGCAACGAGCGCAACCCUUACUUUUAGUUGCCACCAUUUAGUUGGGCACUCUGAAAGAACUGCCAGUGAUAAGCUGGAGGAAGGUGGGGAUGACGUCAAGUCCUCCUUGCCCCUACGUGUUGGGCUACACACGUGCUACAAUGGCAUUUACAAUAGGGAGCAAGACGGGGACGUCAAGCAAAUUCUAAAAAAAAGCCUCCAUUUGGGAUGUUAUUUGCCAAUUGGAGUCCAGGAACCGGAAAUUCUUGGUAUCCGGGAACAGCCGCGCCGGGUUAAAUCCGUUCCCGGUUCUUCCACCCACGGCCCGCCAAGGCGGAUUUCGUUUAACC